UCAGGAUCAGAACAAAUCAGAAAAAGUUUAAAUCCUAUCAUUUUUUGUCUUUUCCGUAAUUUAAACAUAGCUCAGUUUAGAAAGUAAUCAAACGAAACUUUUUAUAUUAAACUAACCUUGAGUUAUGCGGGACAACUUUGACCAGUGUUUUCAUAGUAAACAAGAAUCAUCCGUGUCCCGUCCGCCAUGACAGAUGUUCCUUUUCUUUUUAAACGUUCGGUAAACGUGCCACCUUUUUCGUGAAUUCUGGAGUGUUAAGUAAAAUUAAAUAUGUAUGAAAUAGUCGAAUAUCAUUUCCAACCAUUUUCUCCCACAAAAACCGUUGCAGCUUGUGGUGCAGGCAACAAACCAUUCCUUAGAUCCUUCGGAACCAAGGCCAUAAAGGCGUGAGACCAACAAGUGUUUACGUGUAGUUUUCGUGAGAAUAAUCUGACCAGGCAACAUUUACAACGGUGGCCACUGGAUUAUUUCCGAGGGGCGCUAACCCAUUUCCAUUCCAGAGACGAUGGACCAACAUCUAAGAGACGUUUCUGUAAAGUGAUAUUAUGAAUCUGUACGAAAAACUACUUAAUUUAAAGUUGCAGGCCUUGGAAUCAAUAAAUUCGAUUUGAAUGCGUUUCAA